AUUGUUGUUUAAGCCUGCAAAGCAGCUGGUUCAUGUUAUUUGGAUUCAUGGAAGGUGUUCCUCAGUACUAUUUCUGUCAGAUCCCAGGUGAAGCCUCUUCUUGUGGAAUGCAUGCAGUACUUAAAUAACUCCUGUUUGUGUCAGCUACUCACAUGUGAGCACCAGACCUUGCUCUGCUAACACCUGCACAUCUGUUUUUGGCAGCGUUCUGAAGCAAGAGACAGAAUUCAAAUGACAAGGAAUUUGAGAAGUGCCACAUUUUGCUCUGUGAAUGUUUCUGUGGAAGGAUCACAGUCCCAGGUGUUCCAUCUGUCAGUGGCAGCUGUGGCUGCAACCUCGGGAAUGCCAACCCUGGGAACGUUCAAGGUGUGGCUGUUGCACAGAGAUACAAACAGGAGAGCCUCAGAUGGUUUUGGCAGCUUUUUAUCUUCCUGUCUGAAAAUGCUCCGGCAAGGACUUGAGGAAAAGUGGGACAGCCAUGAAAAUGUUCUUUUAGGCCAAAGAAGAAUAAUACAGCUAGCACUGGAAAUGAUGCAUGGAAAUUAUGGAUGCAUUUUAACUUUCACCAGAUUUGCCCAGCUGAUGUGUAAAAGGAGUGGGAUCUGUGAUGGAAACAGGAGGGAAAUGGACAAAACUUUCAAUUCCUGCAUAUUUGCAAGACUUAACAGGCAUUUUAAGGCUCUGUCCUUAAAAGCUGUUUUGAGGCAAAACCCCAAUAAACCAUCAGUUUCUGAACCUUGUUCCUAAACUUGUCCCUUAAACCCCUGCUGUGUUUUUGCACCACGUUUUCCAGUUUGUUUGAGGCUCUGAGUCUCUAAAGAGGAAACUCUGUUCAUCUUCAGAGUAUCUGAAUUUCUUUUAUUUGGAAUUCUCUUAUGGAUUCCAGUUAUUCCAGUGGAUCCAACUCCUGUGCUGUGGUUCCUCACCCCACCAAUCCUCCUGGAAUGUUUUCACCACAAAGUGCUGCUGGUUUUUAACAACAGAACAAACCCAACUCCUUUGGUCUCCUGGCACUGAGCAAGUUCUGGAAGGAAAAAAAACAAAUGUAACCUACUUUCAAAUGUCUGCAUCGUGUGAGAAAUGAUGGCAACUGCUCUCCCAG
rnacentral:lncRNA from 1 species